CCUUUCCUGUGGCUCAGUCAGCAGAGCAUUGUGCUAGUAAAGCAAAUGUUAUGGGUUCAAAGCCCAGGGAAAGCA